AGUGAACGCUGGCGGUAGGCCUAACACAUGCAAGUCGAACGGCAGCACAGUAAGAGCUUGCUCUUACGGGUGGCGAGUGGCGGACGGGUGAGGAAUACAUCGGAAUCUACUUUUUCGUGGGGGAUAACGUAGGGAAACUUACGCUAAUACCGCAUACGACCUACGGGUGAAAGCAGGGGAUCUUCGGACCUUGCGCGAUUGAAUGAGCCGAUGUCGGAUUAGCUAGUUGGGGGGGUAAAGGCCCACCAAGGCGACGAUCCGUAGCUGGUCUGAGAGGAUGAUCAGCCACACUGGAACUGAUACACGGUCCAGACUCCUACGGGAGGCAGCAGUGGGGAAUAUUGGACAAUGGGCGCAAGCCUGAUCCAGCCAUACCGCGUGGGUGAAGAAGGCCUUCGGGUUGUAAAGCCCUUUUGUUGGGAAAGAAAAGCAGCAGGUUAAUACCCCGCUGUUCUGACGGUACCCAAAGAAUAAGCACCGGCUAACUUCGUG
rnacentral:rRNA from 1 species